AUUGAACGCUGGCGGCAUGCUUUACACAUGCAAGUCGAACGGCAGCGGGGUAGUGCUUGCACUACUGCCGGCGAGUGGCGAACGGGUGAGUAAUAUAUCGGAACGUACCGAGUAAUGGGGGAUAACCAAUCGAAAGAUUGGCUAAUACCGCAUACGUCCUGAGGGAGAAAGCGGGGGAUCGCAAGACCUCGCGUUAUUCGAGCGGCCGAUAACUGAUUAGCUAGUUGGCGGGGUAAAGGCCUACCAAGGCGACGAUCAGUAGCGGGUCUGAGAGGACGAUCCGCCACACUGGGACUGAGACACGGCCCAGACUCCUACGGGAGGCAGCAGUGGGGAAUUUUGGACAAUGGGGGCAACCCUGAUCCAGCCAUGCCGCGUGUAUGAAGAAGGCCUUCGGGUUGUAAAGUACUUUUGUUAGGGAAGAAAAGGGAAGUGCUAAUACCACUUUUUGCUGACGGUACCUAAAGAAUAAGCACCGGCUAACUACGUG
rnacentral:rRNA from 1 species